UACAGAGGGGGCAAGCGUUGUUCGGAAUUACUGGGCGUAAAGGGCGCGUAGGCGGCCCGCUAAGUCGAACGUGAAAUCCCCAGGCUCAACCUGGGAACUGCGUCCGAUACUGGCAGGCUUGAAUCCGGGAGAGGGAUGUGGAAUUCCAGGUGUAGCGGUGAAAUGCGCAGAGAUCGGGAGGAACACCCGUAGCGAAGGCGGCACUCUGGGCCGGUACUGACGCUGAGGAGCGAAAGCGUGGGGAGCAAACAGG
rnacentral:rRNA from 1 species